rnacentral:rRNA from 1 species
UACGUAGGGUGCGAGCGUUGUCCGGAAUUAUUGGGCGUAAAGGGCUCGUAGGCGGUUUGUCGCGUCGGGAGUGAAAUCCACUGGCUUAACUGGUGGCUUGCUUUCGAUACGGGCAGACUGGAGGUAUGCAGGGGAGACUGGAAUUCCUGGUGUAGCGGUGAAAUGCGCAGAUAUCAGGAGGAACACCGAUGGCGAAGGCAGGUCUCUGGGCAUUAACUGACGCUGAGGAGCGAAAGCGUGGGGAGCGAACAGG